rnacentral:rRNA from 1 species
UACGAAGGGGGCUAGCGUUGCUCGGAAUCACUGGGCGUAAAGGGUGCGUAGGCGGGUCUUUAAGUCAGGGGUGAAAUCCUGGAGCUCAACUCCAGAACUGCCUUUGAUACUGGGAAGCUCGAGUCCGGAAGAGGUGAGUGGAACUCCGAGUGUAGAGGUGAAAUUCGUAGAUAUUCGCAAGAACACCAGUGGCGAAGGCGGCUCACUGGCCCGAUACUGACGCUGAGGUGCGAAAGCGUGGGGAGCAAACAGG